GCAGCAGCCACGGUAAUACAGAGGGUGCGAGCGUUAAUCGGAUUUACUGGGCGUAAAGCGUGCGUAGGCGGCUUUUUAAGUCGGAUGUGAAAUCCCUGAGCUUAACUUAGGAAUUGCAUUCGAUACUGGGAAGCUAGAGUAUGGGAGAGGAUGGUAGAAUUCCAGGUGUAGCGGUGAAAUGCGUAGAGAUCUGGAGGAAUACCGAUGGCGAAGGCAGCCAUCUGGCCUAAUACUGACGCUGAGGUACGAAAGCAUGGGGAGCAAACAGGAUUAGAUACCCCCGUAGUCCCUGUCUCUUAUAC
rnacentral:rRNA from 1 species